rnacentral:rRNA from 1 species
GACGAACGCUGGCGGCGUGCUUAACACAUGCAAGUCGAACGGAAAGGCCCUGCUUUUGUGGGGUGCUCGAGUGGCGAACGGGUGAGUAACACGUGAGUAACCUGCCCUUGACUUUGGGAUAACUUCAGGAAACUGGGGCUAAUACCGGAUAGGAGCUCCUGCUGCAUGGUGGGGGUUGGAAAGUUUCGGCGGUUGGGGAUGGACUCGCGGCUUAUCAGCUUGUUGGUGGGGUAGUGGCUUACCAAGGCUUUGACGGGUAGCCGGCCUGAGAGGGUGACCGGCCACAUGGGGACUGAGAUACGGCCCAGACUCCUACGGGAGGCAGCAGUGGGGAAUAUUGCACAAUGGGCGGAAGCCUGAUGCAGCAACGCCGCGGGCGGGAUGACGGCCUUCGGGUUGUAAACCGCUUUCGCCUGGGACGAAGCGUGAGUGACGGUAAUGGGUAAAGAAGCACCGGCUAACUACGUG